rnacentral:rRNA from 1 species
AGAACGAACGCUGAUGGCGUGCCUCAUACAUGCAAGUCGAGCGCGUAGUUUUAGCAAUAAAGCUGCGAGCGGCGGACGGGUGAGUAACACGUAAACAAUCUGCCCUCAAGUGGGGAAUAACUAUCCCAACGGAUAGCUAAUACCGCAUAAGGAUGGAGGUGGCAUCACCUCUUCUCGAAAGGCUUCGGCCGCUUAAGGAUGAGUUUGCGUCCCAUUAGCUUGUUGGCGGGUAACGGCCCACCAAGGCUACGAUGGGUAUCC